rnacentral:rRNA from 1 species
UGAAUACGAGAUGCUACGGCGUCGAAGCAGUCUAUGUCAGACUUCCAAGAAAAGCUUGCACUGUCACAAACAAAGAAUGCCUGUACCAUAACCGACACAGGUGGGUAGGUAGAGUAUACUAAGGGGCGCGAGAGAACUCUCUCUAAGGAACUCGGCAAAAUGACUCCGUAACUUCGGGAGAAGGAGUGCCUUAUUUUUAAGGUUGCAAUAACAAGACCCAAGCAACUGUUUACCAAAAACACAGGUCUCCGCUAAGUCGUAAGACGAUGUAUGGGGGCUGACGCCUGCCCAGUGCCAGAAGGUUAAAGAAGUCGGUUAGAUCAGCUUUGCUGAUCGAAGCUAGUAACCGAGGCUCUGGUGAACGGCGGCCGUAACUAUAACGGUCCUAAGGUAGCGAAAUUCCUUGUCGGGUAAGUUCCGACCCGCACGAAAGGCGUAAUGAUUUGGGUACUGUCUCGGAGAGGGGCUCGGUGAAAUAGACUUGUCUGUGAAGAUGCGGACUACCUGCACCUGGACAGAAAGACCCUAUGGAGCUUUACUGUAACUUGAAAUUGAAAUUGGACUUUAUUUGCGCAGUAUAGGUGGGAGGCAUUGAGACUAGCCUUGCGGGAUUAGUGGAGCCAUCAGUGAGAUACCACUCUUGUAAUGUUAGAUUUCUAACUUUGUAUCAUUCUCUGGUCAAAGAACAGUUUCAGGCGGGCAGUUUGACUGGGGCGGUCGCCUCCCAAAGGGUAACGGAGGCGCACAAAGGUUUCCUCUGAACGGGUAGAAAUCGUAUCUAGAGUGUAAAGGCAUAAGGAAGCUUGACUGUGAGACCUACAAGUCGAGCAGGGACGAAAGUCGGUCUUAGUGAUCUGACGGUGCUGAGUGGAAAGGCCGUCACUCAACGGAUAAAAGUUACUCUAGGAUAACAGGCUGAUCUCCCCCAAGAGUUCACAUCGACGGGGAGGUUUGGCACCUCGAUGUCGGCUCAUCGCAUCCUGGGGCGGUAGUACGUCCCAAGGGUUGGGCUGUUCGCCCAUGAAAGCGGUACGCGAGCUGGGUUCAGAACGUCGUGAGACAGUUCGGUCCAUAUCCGGUGUAGGCGUUAGAAUAUUGAGAGGAGCCUUCUCUAGUACGAGAGGACCGAGAAGGACAUACCUCUGGUGUACCAGUUAUCGUGCCAACGGUAAACGCUGGGUAGCUAUGUAUGGAGUGGAUAACCGCUGAAAGCAUCUAAGUGGGAAGCCCACCUCAAGAUAAGUAUUCUCAUC